CGUGAACGCUGGCGGUAUGCCUAACACAUGCAAGUCGAACGGCAGCACAGUAAGAGCUUGCUCUUACGGGUGGCGAGUGGCGGACGGGUGAGGAAUACAUCGGAAUCUACUUUUUCUUGGGGGAUAACGUAGGGAAACUUACGCUAAUACCGCAUACGACCUACGGGUGAAAGCAGGGGAUCUUCGGACCUUGCGCGAUUGAAUGAGCCGAUGUCGGAUUAGCUAGUUGGCGGGGUAAAGGCCCACCAAGGCGACGAUCCGUAGCUGGUCUGAGAGGAUGAUCAGCCACACUGGAACUGAGGCACGGUCCAGACUCCUACGGGAGGCAGCAGUGGGGAAUAUUGGACAAUGGGCGCAAGCCUGAUCCAGCCAUACCGCGUGGGUGAAGAAGGCCUUCGGGUUGUAAAGCCCUUUUGUUGGGAAAGAAAAGCAGCAGGUUAAUACCCCGCUGUUCUGACGGUACCCAAAGAAUAAGCACCGGCUAACUUCGUG
rnacentral:rRNA from 1 species